rnacentral:RNase_P_RNA from 1 species
GAAGCAGUACAGACGAUCGCUGGGUCAUUUAUAAGAUUCAGAGGAAAGUCCGAACACCACAGGGCAGGGUGCUCCAUAAUGUGGAGUCGCGGUAACGCGAAGGCAAGUGCAACAGAAAGCAAACCGCCGCGUCGCAAGGCGCGGUAAGGGUGAAACGGUGCGGUAAGAGCGCACCAGUUCUCCGGGCGACCGGGGAAGCUAGGUAAACCCCACCCGGUGCAAGACCAAAUAGGGGAGUGCUUGAGGGCGGCCCGUCCGAGCUCCCGGGUAGGUUGCUGGAGGUGUCGGGCAACCGGCAUCCUAGAUGAAUGAUCGCCGUCCUGGCAGGGGUAACCCGGCCGGGAGACAGAAUUCGGCUUAUGGCCUGCUCCGGCC